AGAGUUUGAUCCUGGCUCAGAAUGAACGCUGGCGGUAUGCCUAACACAUGCAAGUCAUACGACGUGUUUUUUCUUUUUGGUUUCGAUCAGAAAUAAAAAACAUUGUAGUGGCGGACGGGUGAGUAACGCGUAAGAACUUACCUCUAGGAGGGGGAUAACAUCUGGGAAACUGGUGCUAAUACCCCAUAUGCUGAGAAGUGAAAAGGUUUUCACCGCCUAGAGAGAGGCUUGCGUCUGAUUAGCUAGUUGGUAAGGUAAAAGCUUACCAAGGCUACGAUCAGUAGUUGGUCUGAGAGGAUGACCAGCCACACUGGGACUGAGACACGGCCCAGACUCCUACGGGAGGCAGCAGUGAGGAAUUUUCCACAAUGGGCUAACGCCUGAUGGAGCAAUACCGCGUGGAGGAUGACGGCCCAUGGGUUGUAAACUCCUUUUCUUAGGGAAGAACGAAAUGACGGUACCUAAGGAAUAAGUAACGGCAAACUCGGUGCCAGCAGCCGCGGUUUUUUUUGGCUGCAAUAGAAAGUUGUUGAGAUGUAUAAUAUUACUUUACAUUGAAAAAUUUUGUUGAAAUUUGAAUAUUAUUGGAUAGAGAAUAUAGUAGUUUAAUGAAUAAUAAAUAAAAUUUAAAAGAAGGAAAAAAUAUGACAAUUUGUAUUAAUUAUUUAGUUGGUUAUUUUUUAACAGAUGGAGGUUUUAUUGUUACUUUGAAUAAAAAUAAAGGAACUAUUGAUGUUACCUUUAAAAUUUCAAGUAAAAAUAAAGUUAUGUUAGUUUUAUUGGAAAAAUUUAUAAAAAAAGAGAUAAAUGUUACGGCUAAGAUUGAUGCAUCAAAACCAUCUUCUAAUCGUGCAUCUGCACUUAGAAUUCAAGGUGUUGAACAAGUCUUAAAAGUUAUGCAAUUUAUAAAAUCUAAGGCAUCUAUAGUGGAACUUAAUGGUACAUGUUUCUUUUUUAUUGGAACAAAGUACCGAACUUUUUUAAUUGUUGAAUAUUUGAUCAAAAACAGGAAAGAACUGAAUAAAAAUCGUGCAAUUCAAAUUGACUUAAUUAAAAGUUUGCAUAAAAUAUCUAGAACUGAUCCAGAUGAAAAUUUGGGAGGUUCACAAACAGUAUCAAGAGAAGAUUUAGAAACACGUUAUGGUUUACAAAAAGAUUCUUCUAUUAAUGCAGCAGCAGAUAUUUUAAGUAAAAUUGAUGAAAAAUUUAAUGAACAAGUGCAUUUAAUAUUAAAUGGAUUAAAUAGGAAAACAUUAAAAGUGAAUUCAAGUUUUAUAGUAGGUCUCACUGAUGGGGAUGGGGGUUUUACCCUUACUCUGUCGGAUACUCGCAAAACUAUAAAGUUAGAACUAACUUUAACCUGUGAUAUUACAUCAACUCUUGUAAAUGAUGUUUGGUGUUAUGCUUUAAUAGGUAAAAUUAUUGCAGCAGCUAAAGUCCCAAAUAAAAACGCUUAUCAAACUCAAAUUCGCACUAACGAUGAUUUAGAAAAAGUUUUGUGUUUUUUUUCUAAAAACACACCAAUAGCUUCUGAUAGAAAAGCUAGAUUUGACUUAAUGCUUGAAAUUUUUCAAGCAAAAAAAAAUAAAACGUAUAAUUAUGAUUUGUAUAAACAAAAGAUUUUAUCUUUGCGAUACUAUUUAAAAGAGUAAAGAGAUUAUUACUAUUCAAUAUUUUAUUAUCAAAUUUUCGUUAAAAUUUAACAAUUUUCUAUAUUUUAUAAAAAAAAAAAUGGCCGCCUAUUUGCGUAAGCAAAUUGUAAAAUCCAGCUCAUAACGGUGAAGCCUAAAUCCAAUUUUUUUGGACAUGGGAAUACCGUGGGAAGUUUAAGUAUUGUAGAAACAAUAGUUGCUGAAAAAAUCAUUUUUCAGCUAUCCUUACUUAUAACCCCGUAAAGACUAACUCGAAAGAGAAGAGAGAAAAUCUCAAACGCUGGCUCUUAGUAGUUUCAAGUUACUAUGGUUAAAUAACCUAAAGUAAAAUAAGCUAAGAUGAAGGUAUAGUCUGGACCCAAGAUUAAAAUUUGGGGUAAUCUGAAUACCGGGGUUACAAGCGUUAUUCGGAAUGAUUGGGCGUAAAGCGUCUGUAGGUGGUUUCGCGAAGUCUACUGUCAAAUACCAGGGCUCAACCUUGGACAGGCAUUAGAAACUCGGAAACUAGAGUUCGGUGGGGGCAGAGGGAAUUCUCAGUGGAGCGGUGAAAUGCAUAGAGAUUGAGGAGAACACCAAUGGCGAAGGCACUCUGCUGGGCCGUUACUGACACUGAGAGACGAAAGCUAGAGGAGCAACAAGGAUUAGAUACCCUUUUAGUUCUAGCCGUAAACGAUGGAUACUAAGUGCUGUCAAAAAACAGUGCUGUAGCUAACGCGUUAAGUAUCCCGCCUGGGGAGUAUGCUCGCAAGAGUGAAACUCAAAGGAAUUGACGGGGGCCCGCACAAGCCGUGGAUUAUGUGGUUUAAUAUGAUGCAACCCGUUGAACCUUACCAGGAUUUGACAUGUCAGAAACUCCCAGAGAUGGGAGGUGCCAAUUCUUUUAUUAAAGAAUUGGAAUCUGAACACAGGUGGUGCACGGCUGUCGUCAGCUCGUGAUGUGAAUUAUUGGGUUCAGUCCCGCAACGAGCGCAACCCUCGUCCUUAGUUACCACUUUUAGUGGGUCUCUAGGGAGACUGCCGGUGUAAGCCGGAGGAAGGUGAGGACGACGUCAAGUCAGCAUGCCCCUUAUAUCCUGGGCUACACACGUAAUACAAUGGCCGGGACAAUGAGAUGCGACCCCGCGAGGGCCAGCUAACCUCACAAACCCGGCCUCAGUUCGGAUCGUAGGCUGCAACUCGCCUACGUGAAGUCGGAAUGGCUAGUAAUCGCCGGUCAGCUAUACGGCGGUGAAUACGUUCCCGGGCCUUGUACACACUGCCCGUCAAAGGUCGGAAGGAGAUAUGGUCGGAAGUGGUUUUGCCUAACGAUUUCAUCGAGGGCAACUACAAAUUCCCUGUUUCCAACUAAUCUUAAGUCGUAACAAGGUAGCCCUACUGGAAGGUGGGGCUGGAGGAUCC
rnacentral:rRNA from 1 species